GCUUCCUCCUUCUGUGGCCUAUCCGGGAUUGCCAGAUGGCAUGAGCUGAUUGGGCACUGAGCAUCUACUUAAGGGCUUGCGGGGGCUGGGAGAAGCGAGAAGCUGAUGUACAAGGUUCCUGAAUAAACUGCUUGAAGAAGAGUCGUGGUCAUGUUUCUCUCGCUGAUAGAGAUAGACGCGACAAGUGGUGGCCCGUACAGGGAACCUUCGAGGAUGAACGGCUCAGAACUUCCUGAAGUCAGGGCAGUCGACUGGUAAGUCCCAGGAUCAAUCAGAGCCGGUAUGGGUUCCAGAAAGGCUGACAAGAAGAGUCCCUGCCUCUGAGGAUGGCGAAAAUCAUAAGCAGACCAAUGUACCUGAUGCUGACGAUCAUGACGGUGAUGCUGAUCAACAAGAUGACAGCAGAACCCCGAUGGGGGAUUCUGUCAGUGUUCCCGAAACCACUGCCAAUCAGACAUUCUGCUCAAGUUUUCCCUAGAUUUUUUUAGUAGCAAUUUGAGUUUAAAUUUACCUUUUUUGCCUUUAGAUAAGGAUAUUAGUCCUGUGGAGGGUAAUGUUAGUUUUGGUUUGCCAGGGAAUUUGUGCUUUUUUAUAGUUAGUAAUAUUAGUCAGAAUAAUGAUGGGUGCCCUGGGAGGAAUGCUUAUCCUUGUCAGUAUCAUUGCUUUAUGGUGUAUCUGCAGGAUGAGGGUUUCACAGAGGAGAAGUAAUGCCAUGAUUGCACAAGCCUUCGCAGCCUUGGAGGCAGGGCAGUCUCCUCAGGCUUGGUUAACGGUACUCAAAAGCUAAGUAAUUACUUCCUCCACACAGGUUGUGAGACGUAGUACUGCACAUGAAGUGUGAACUUCAUGAAGGGCAAGUCUGAUUGCAUAUGGGUUGGUAUCGUAAUCCCAUCUCUGACAAAAGAUACCGGACUGGUGUGGCACCAGCUUGGCUGAUACCUAGGCAUGGGGCCAUUACAUUGUCUCUUGUUUUCAGAGAUCAGACCCCUACCCUUACCUGUUGUGCUAUAAAAUAAAAAAGGGGGAACUGUGGAGAGCCACAGCCCUAGGAUGGUGCCUGGCUGGAUGCCAGGUAGUCCGAGCUUAGCUGUAAACAAGCCUUAUUUGGAAGUGCUUGAGGCAUCUGGCAUGCUUCCUCCUUCUGUGGCCUAUCCGGGAUUGCCAGAUGGCAUGAGCUGAUUGGGCACUGAGUAUCUACUUAAGUAGCUUGCGGGGGCUGGGAGAAGCGAGAAGCUGAUGUACAAGGUUCCUGAAUAAACUGCUUGAAGAAGAGUCGUGUUCGUGUUUCUCUUGCUGGUCGAGAUAGACGCAACAGAUAUCUGCUAGGUGCAUUUUAUGUAUAAUGUCCUUUAAUUCCAAUGUUUCUCUGCUAUCUUUUGUCCAACUGACUUGUGUAUUAGAGAGAGGGGAGUAUGAAAUAGCCUUUGAUUACUGAGUUGGAGUUCAUCAGUAUCUUUCAUUUCUUUAGAAUGCUUUUAAUAAAACUGAA
ensembl:lncRNA